GAGGUGACGACUUUUCAGGGCGGAACCAAAAAUUGAAGAAGUUGGUUCCGCCCGGAUGUUUCCGCCCCGACCGGAAAAAUGGAAACACCGGACAUCCGGCAGUUUUGCGAAGGCUGUAAUCAGCGGAUUGAACACAGCUGUGCCUAGUUGACGAGAUCGCCGGGUAAUUGGAUAACGGGAGUGUAAGGAGAAGUACAAAAGGCACGUUUAGAUGACAGUUGGCGUGCUUAGUGUGUGCUGAGGAACGGAGCUGUGCUCAUUAUUAGACGUGGUGACUGGAUAUAUCUCUCUCUCUUCCCUUUUCUCUUGUUGCCGUUACGGUGGACCGGCUGGAUUUAAGAAACAACCCUACGGGUAUAGAAGGAACUCCGGUCCAACUAGUAAUUUGGAAGGAGUAAAGCGAGAAGCGAUUUAAUCAUAUUGCACAACGUACACAAAGGCUAUCCGCUGUGAGUAUACCCGUGGUGUAGUACAACUAGCAGAAACUUGCAUUGUGGGAUUCAUUGGAAUCCUCCAGGAUUAGGAAGGCGGCCCUACCCCUAUCAUUAGCGUGGUGGGCGAGCCGCUAGGGGCAUACAUUUCAUACAGCCACCGCGACGCGACUUUGGUCUGGUCGUUUUGUCAUCGCCUCUACGUUAGCCCCAAGCACAGUGGAAGAGACCGGGCGUUUCCCUUGUGGUGUUGCACUUGCAGUGUGGUGAGUGAGAUUUUACAUAUCAUAAGCUUUUUCACGUUAGAGUGGUGCUGUGCAUUUGCUGUGGGUUGCUGUGUGUCUUGUCAGAGAAACCCCGCACCAUCCAUUCUCUUCCCUGGAGGGAGGACGGAGGGGCCAACGACCGUAGACCUCAUUGCUAUUAUACACGGUGUGCUGUUCUACGAGUAAGAAGAGACGCAGGCCAAGGGCUGUGGAGGACUGUGAGUAUUAUAUUAGAAGCAUUGGUGGUGUGAGCUUAUCUGUGUUUGCAUUGUCGCAGAGUUGGAGGCGAACGGGUCCCCUACCCCCGUGGUCUCUACGAAAGGGCGCCCCUAUCUGGGAUUCGAUCAGCCUACGGACAGUGGGGAUAGGGCAGCGCUCGACCCGGCGAGGUGGUGUGUGGCCUUCGCCCCCCUGCUGACCUACAGAAGAAACGACUGUGAGUAACAUCUUAAAAGCAUUUGUGGUGUAAGCUUACCUGUGUUGUAUUGUCGCAGAGUUGGAGGCGAACGGGUCUGCUGCCCCCGUGGUCUCUACGAAAGGGCGCCCCUAUCCGGGAUUCGAUCGGCCUACGGGCAGUGGGAAUAGGGUAGCGUUCGACCCGGCGAGGUGGUGUGUGACCUUCGCCCCCCCUGCUGACCAACAGUAAAGAGCCGACUGUGAACGCGAUAAUUACCCAGAGAGCUGUAAGCAGCGAAGCUGCGAUCACCUGUGGAGAGAGAGAGGAAAACGAGAGUAAGAGCCAGUAAAGAGCCGACUGUGAACGCGAUACUUACCCAGAGAGCUGUAAGCAGCGGAGCUGCGAUCACCUGUGGAGAGAGAGAGGAAAACGAGAGCAAGAGCCAGUAAAGAGCCGACUGUGAACGUGAUACUUACCCAGAGAGCUGUAAGCAGCGGAGCUGCGAUCACCUGUGGAGAGAGAGAGGAAAACGAGAGUGAAUCAGUGAAGAGCCGACUGUGAACGUGAUACUUACCCAGAAGCUGUAAGCAGCGGAGCUGUGGCCGCCUGUGGAGAGAGAAGAAGGCGAGAGUGAGCCAUUGGGCACGGACAGUGGGAAAGAUCCCUACCAGCCACACCAGAAAUUGUCUGCCUCCAGGAGAGAAGAAGGAGGGCGCCACGGCCAGCAGGGUCCAGGCGGGAGCCUGACGUUUUCCCCUUGCCCCCGUUGAUGGUGGUUGGCAUCCCUGUCGUUUCCAUCCCUGUCACCCGUGGCUGUAGUCCCCUGGAGGGAGUAGAAGAAGCCAUUAGUUUUAAAUUUCCCUUCCCCAAUUUCCCCAGUCCUUUUAAGUAUUUAAAAAUUCAAUAAAGCUUGUUUUAAAUUUUACUCACCUGUCUCCGUGUUUGUCUGCUCAUUGGGUCGGCUUUGGGGACCUCCUCGAGGUGGGAGUUAAAAAGGGGCGUGGCUUAGUCAAACACAGCCAGCCCCUAGUGGUGACAGAUUUUGGCGUAGUCGGCAGGGUCCCACCUCAAGUU